GAUGAACGCUAGCUACAGGCUUAACACAUGCAAGUCGCGGGGCAGCAUGGGGGUUGCUUGCAAUCCCCGAUGGCGACCGGCGCACGGGUGAGUAACGCGUAUCCAACCUGCCCUUCACCACGGGAUAACCCGGCGAAAGUCGGACUAAUACCGUAUGUUGUCCAUUGACGUCAUCCGAUUUGGACGAAAGGUUUGGCGGUGAAGGAUGGGGAUGCGUCCGAUUAGCUGGACGGCGGGGUGACGGCCCACCGUGGCGACGAUCGGUAGGGGUUCUGAGAGGAAGGUCCCCCACACUGGAACUGAGACACGGUCCAGACUCCUACGGGAGGCAGCAGUGAGGAAUAUUGGUCAAUGGGCGUAAGCCUGAACCAGCCAAGUAGCGUGCAGGAUGACGGCCCUAUGGGUUGUAAACUGCUUUUAUGCGGGGAUAAAGUGGCCCACGUGUGGGUUUUUGCAGGUACCGCAUGAAUAAGGACCGGCUAAUUCCGUG
rnacentral:rRNA from 1 species